GGACUGAGAGGUUGAACGGCCACAUUGGGACUGAGACACGGCCCAGACUCCUACGGGAGGCAGCAGUGGGGAAUAUUGCGCAAUGGGGGAAACCCUGACGCAGCAACGCCGCGUGCGGGACGACGGCCUUCGGGUUGUAAACCGCUUUCAGCAGGGAAUAAUUUUGAAGGUACCUGCAAAGGAAGUGACGGCUAACUACGUGCCAGCAGCCGCGGUAAAACGUAGGUCACAAGCGUUGUCCGGAAUUACUGGGUGUAAAGGGAGCGCAGGCGGGCGAUCAAGUUGGAAGUGAAAUCCAUGGGCUCAACCCAUGAACUGCUUUCAAAACUGGUCGUCUUGAGUAGUGCAGAGGUAGGCGGAAUUCCCGGUGUAGCGGUGGAAUGCGUAGAUAUCGGGAGGAACACCAGUGGCGAAGGCGGCCUACUGGGCACCAACUGACGCUGAGGCUCGAAAGUGUGGGUAGCAAACAGGAUUAGAUACCCUGGUAGUCCACACCGUAAACGAUGAUUACUAGGUGUUGGGAGAUUGACCCUCUCAGUGCCGCAGUUAACACAAUAAGUAAUCCACCUGGGGAGUACGACCGCAAGGUUGAAACUCAAAGGAAUUGACGGGGGCCCGCACAAGCAGUGGAGUAUGUGGUUUAAUUCGACGCAACGCGAAGAACCUUACCAAGUCUUGACAUCCUCUGACGAACGUAGAAAUACGUUUUCUCUUCGGAGCAGAGAGACAGGUGGUGCAUGGUUGUCGUCAGCUCGUGUCGUGAGAUGUUGGGUUAAGUCCCGCAACGAGCGCAACCCUUAUGGUCAGUUACUACGCAAGAGGACUCUGGCCAGACUGCCGUUGACAAAACGGAGGAAGGUGGGGAUGACGUCAAAUCAUCAUGCCCUUUAUGACUUGGGCUACACACGUACUACAAUGGCGUUAAACAAAGAGAAGCAAGACCGCAAGGUGGAGCAAAACUCAGAAACAACGUCCCAGUUCGGACUGCAGGCUGCAACUCGCCUGCACGAAGUCGGAAUUGCUAGUAAUCGUGGAUCAGCAUGCCACGGUGAAUACGUUCCCGGGCCUUGUACACACCGCUCGUCACACCAUGAGAGCCGGGGGGACCCGAAGUCGGUAGUCUAACCGCAAGGAGGACGCCGCCGAAGGUAAAACUGGUGAUUGGGGUGAAGUCGGAACAAGGUAGCCGUAGGAGAACCUGCGGCUG
rnacentral:rRNA from 1 species